GUGGGGCAUCACAUGUACUGAAAUUGCAACGAAACAGAGAAGGUUCGCAUGGUCCCAGCAUAAAGAUGGCACGCAAAAUACACUAGGAUAAAGCGUAUUC
rnacentral:snRNA from 1 species